rnacentral:hammerhead_ribozyme from 1 species
AUCCGGCUGACGAGUCCCAAAUAGGGCGAAACGCGCGUCUUUGAU